rnacentral:lncRNA from 1 species
GUUUGGUUGUGCUUGGGUUUGAGAUUCAUACUUCUAAAUCGGGUUUUUGGGUUGGGUCUCUAUUGAGUUGGAACCGUGGGUCAAAUUAACCCAGUCUAUUUGAGUAUAAUGUAAAUAGAUAAGGGGUAUUUUGGGUAGUCUAGGUUAGAGAAUCUUUCACAACAAGAAUAGGAAGCUUCUAGUUGGGGUUGUUAUUGAAUUUCAGAGUAUAUGAUAGUUUAACUUGGGUAACAAGUCAAAAUUUUAGGAAUACCUAAGCUAGAACAAGAAUUGAAAAAGGGUUGAAUUGCGAAAAAUCAAAACCUAAGGGCUGCGCUACUUGCCUUGCCUAUAAAGGCAUCAAUUCUUGCCUUUCAAGGCAAGACUUGAGUGCUAGAAUUCAAAGUAUACACAGACGGCCAAAUUUCUACUAUUUUAUUGAUUUCAAAAAUUUCCCCAUUCUAAACUACCUUCUAGUUCAUUUGAGAUUGAUAUGAACUGAUUUGAGUCUUCUAGUAGGGGUUGUUAGUGAAUUUCAGAAUGAAUAGUAGUUUAACGUAGGUAACAAGUCAGUAAUUGAGGAACACCUAAUCUAAAAUGACAGUUAAAGAAGGGGCAGGAUGUAAAACUGGAAAAGCUGUGUCUGCCCUACUUUGUU